CGAUGAACCCAACUUUAUCUGUGACGAUGAACCCAACUUUGGUGCUUGACACGGUUUUCUGUAGAAAUCAUGAAAUAUACAGAGUGUAUUACCAAAUGCUUGCUUCUUUGAGUAUGUGCCUGAAACAAGAAUGUCUUGGAGAAAACAGACCACCACGAGAAGGGAUUGAGAGGAAGGCCUUGCUGUUGAGAGAUCAUGGGGUGCCUUGAGGUUCCACUUCCAGUCUUGAUGUUCUACCCCUUACCUCAAAGCGAUGGACUCUUGUGCCUGGCAAUAUAUGAGCGAAGCACAAUGGACUGGUGCCUGUACAUGUAAUGUAUUUCAUGCAAAUGAACGGUAGAAUGACAAGCUCACGAUGAUAUGGUAGACAAGGACCUUGCUGUCUAAAGCUUGGAGGCCAGAUGACAGUGUCUGAACCGGCUUGUCAGAAUUGCGUACAAGGAUGCCAUUGGACUUUGCUGUACUUGUAGCUGAAGGGGAGCAGUCACCAAAAGGAUCGUGCAACUCGAAAACAAUGUGGAUACCUCUACCGAGUUCAUCUCAAAUAACAUGGCUCUUCAAGAAUCAAGGUGUGAUAGUGGAUGUACAUGUAGAGGGGUUUGUGACCCUCCUGACUGUGGACUACUUGCAAUACACAUAAACUCAAUCAAUGGAUUGUAGAGGAGUAAUGGUGGGUCCGGUGAGCUCAACUUUGGAGGUUAAUUUAGCAAAAUUAAUGAAGUUCCUUUUAAUAUGGGUGUAUAUGGUUCCAGGGAUUAAUUUGACGCAAUGCCUUGUAGUGACACGCCCAUUUAAGGGGCAACACGUCUCAGAAAGUAUAAAAUGGGAAGCAGUUUCUGAAUUGGCGCAAGCUUUUACUUUUCGGAUGACUUCCUCAUUUUGUUUCAUACUCCAUUUCCUUUGCCGCCAUGAGGUGCUAAAGUUUUAGCAGAGUUCGGGGCGUCCAGCCCAUAGAUGUGACUUUUCGUGAUUGUAUGUAAUAAAUUGUAAUAAAGUUACUAUCCACUUCAACACUUGACUCUUGUCGAGAAUUUUAUUUCUUCGUGUGGACUUUGUUCUUCUCUGGAACGCGAAUUGGGCAGGGUGAUCGAAGGCCACCGGCCACUCAGUAGCCGGGGCUUUUUCAUGUAUAAAAAAUGUUUGAAGACAAGCGACUGCAUUAUAAGCUCAGCAUGAUCAGUAACAUUUUUGAGAGAAUUCAAGUCAUCGUUUGAUUUGAUUUGAUUUGAUUUAUUUAUUUCUGUUUGAUUUUCUUUUUCUUUUGCAUUUUUACAAAUAUAUAACAAACAAAUAUUGCAAAUUUACACAUGACAAAAGAAUGUAUGUAGAAUAAGGUAAGGCUGGGUGUAACUAAUCGAGAACAUCAAACAG